rnacentral:rRNA from 1 species
UAACUGAAUCCAUAGGUUAAUGAGGCGAACCGGGGGAACUGAAACAUCUAAGUACCCCGAGGAAAAGAAAUCAACCGAGAUUCCCCCAGUAGCGGCGAGCGAACGGGGAGGAGCCCAGAGCCUGAAUCAGCAUGUGUGUUAGUGGAAGCGUCUGGAAAGGCGCGCGAUACAGGGUGACAGCCCCGUACACAAAAGCGCAUGUGCUGUGAGCUCGAUGAGUAGGGCGGGACACGUGGUAUCCUGUCUGAAUAUGGGGGGACCAUCCUCCAAGGCUAAAUACUCCUGACUGACCGAUAGUGAACCAGUACCGUGAGGGAAAGGCGAAAAGAACCCCGGCGAGGGGAGUGAAAAAGAACCUGAAACCGUGUACGUACAAGCAGUGGGAGCACCCUUCGGGG